rnacentral:rRNA from 1 species
UACGGGGGGUGCGAGCGUUGUCCGGAAUCACUGGGCGUAAAGGGCGCGUAGGUGGCCUGAUAAGGGUGUGGUGAAAGUCCGGGGCUCAACCCCGGAUCGGCCGUGCCGACUGUUAGGCUAGAGUACUGUAGGGGCAGGCGGAAUUCCGGGUGUAGCGGUGGAAUGCGUAGAGAUCCGGAGGAAGACCGGUGGCGAAGGCGGCCUGCUGGGUAGUUACUGACACUGAGGCGCGACAGCGUGGGGAGCAAACAGG